rnacentral:rRNA from 1 species
UAGGGAAUCUUCCGCAAUGGACGAAAGUCUGACGGAGCAACGCCGCGUGAGUGAUGAAGGUUUUCGGAUCGUAAAACUCUGUUAUUAGGGAAGAACAAAUGCGUAAGUAACUGUGCGCAUCUUGACGGUACCUAAUCAGAAAGCCACGGCUAACUACGUGCCAGCAGCCGCGGUAAUACGUAGGUGGCAAGCGUUAUCCGGAAUUAUUGGGCGUAAAGCGCGCGUAGGCGGUUUCUUAAGUCUGAUGUGAAAGCCCACGGCUCAACCGGGGAGGGUCAUUGGAAACUGGGAAACUUGAGUACAGAAGAGGAAAGUGGAAUUCCAUGUGUAGCGGUGAAAUGCGCAGAGAUAUGGAGGAACACCAGUGGCGAAGGCGACUUUCUGGUCUGUAACUGACGCUGAUGUGCGAAAGCGUGGGGAUCAAACA